UUGGCACGAAAUUACACAAUUAGGCAUGACCAAACCCAGUUACCAAAACCUUCACCAGAAUUUAGUGAGAAUGAAAAUAUAUGUUAAAAUCUCAUCAAACCAGAAGAGCAAUGUAUUUGAAGCAAAAGAGUACCAUAUCUCAUGAUAUUGUUUUUAAAAAAAAUACAAGCCAUGAUAUUUCAGCGGGAGUAGCUUCCAGAUAACCAUCAAAUUCAAAUAGUAAAAAACAAGGGUCAAAGUAAAUGCUUGUCAAAAGUUUGAACACGGUAGAUAUUAUCCGUGUAAAACCAGGAGGUGAUAUGGUAACACAUCAAAACAUUCAAAUUCAAAUUCAAGUCAUGUUAUCCAAAUUGAUACAGAUUAUGCGGGCUUGACUCAAUUUGAUUGUAACAAACUCACUGCCAUGCACAACCGGCUAUCUCGAGAUAAGUUUAUUCAAAUUCAAAAUCAAGACUCAAUCCUAUCUCGAAGACUCCCUAUAAAAGCAAUCAUAAUGCCAGAGUUAGGGGACGGAGAAAAGACAUCAGGAGGAAAGGCGGAGCCCUGCUGCAAAGGAGAGAAGAGGUUUUCAACAAUCUUUGUUCGAAGGAGAAGCCCGGAAGCAGACGCUAAAAGGUUGAUACCUCCUUGACCCUCCAGUGCUACUUCUUGUUUUUUUUUUUUUUUGCAGUGCUACUUCUUGUUUUUUUUUUUUUUUUGCAGUCUCUUUUACCUGUGCCGCCAUGGAGCUGUGGAGUACAAUGUCAUCUACUCUGAAAUUCAACAGCAGUCCCCACCAGCAGCUUCCUACCUCCUGCUUUCCUCUCCACCGCAGCACAACAAAUGGCCUCAAAAUAAGCCACGCAAAGAACA